rnacentral:lncRNA from 1 species
CCCUAUUCACAUGUUUCACACGUUUUCAGCCUGAAGCCAGCGGUCGUAUGCAGUAGCAUGAAAACUGGGCAUCCGUUUUCUGGUCAUCCGGACGUAUAGGCGGACUCCACUGGUUGCUUCGAUUAUUUCAACUUUCGUUGUCUCAGCACACCUCCACUGGCACACUUGCGAGUUGGCUUUACAGCUAAUAUGAAAGCACUAAAUGGUUAUAUGAAUUUCUUCAUUCAUUUCCUAAGGAACAAUAAAUAGAAAACAGAACGAAUUCUGCCAAAGAAAA